AAACCAACAGGGAUUACCUCAGUAACGGCGAGUGAAGCGGUAAGAGCUCAAAUUUGAAAGCUACCAACAGGUCGCAUUGUAAUUUGUAGAAGAUGCUUUGGGUGUUGACCUAGUCUAAGUUCCUUGGAACAGGACGUCAUAGAGGGUGAGAAUCCCGUAUGUGAUUAGUGUCAGCCCCCGUGUAAAGCUCUUUCGACGAGUCGAGUUGUUUGGGAAUGCAGCUCAAAAUGGGUGGUAAAUUUCAUCUAAAGCUAAAUAUUGGCCAGAGACCGAUAGCGCACAAGUAGAGUGAUCGAAAGAUGAAAAGCACUUUGGAAAGAGAGUUAAACAGUACGUGAAAUUGUUGAAAGGGAAGCGCUUGCAAUCAGACUUGCAGGCAGUCGAUCAUCCGAGGUUCUCCCCGGUGCACUCGAUUGUCUUCAGGCCAGCAUCGGUUUUGGUGGUGGGAUAAAGGCUGUGGGAAUGUGGCUCUUCGGAGUGUUAUAGCCCACGGUGCAAUGCCGCCUACCGGGACCGAGGACCGCGCUUCGGCUAGGAUGCUGGCGUAAUGGUUGUAAGCGAC
rnacentral:rRNA from 1 species